GCUCUCCCACCAUUGAGGGUUUCUACCUGC
rnacentral:piRNA from 1 species